GAAACGACUGCUAAGACUGGAUAGGAGACAAGAAGGCAUCUUUUUGUUUUUAAAAGACCUAGCAAUAGGUAUGCUUAGGGAGGAGCUUGCGUCACAUUAGUUAGUUGGUGGGGUAAAGGCUUACCAAGACUAUGAUGUGUAGCCGGGCUGAGAGGUUGAACGGCCACAUUGGGACUGAGACACGGCCCAAACUCCUACGGGAGGCAGCAGUAGGGAAUUUUCGGCAAUGGAGGAAACUCUGACCGAGCAACGCCGCGUGAACGAUGAAGUAUUUCGGUACGUAAAGUUCUUUUAUUAGGGAAGAAUAAAUGAUGGAAAAAUCAUUCUGACGGUACCCAAUGAAUAAGCCCCGGCUAACUAUGUGCCAGCAGCCGCGGUAAUACAUAGGGGGCAAGCGUUAUCCGGAAUUAUUGGGCGUAAAGGGUGCGUAGGCGGUUAAAUAAGUUUAUGGUCUAAGUGCAAUGCUUAACAUUGUGAUGCUAUAAAAACUGUUUAGCUAGAGUAAGAUAGGGGCAAGUGGAAUUCCAUGUGUAGUGGUAAAAUGCGUAAAUAUAUGGAGGAACACCAGUAGUGAAGGCGGCUUGCUGGGUCUUUACUGACGCUGAGGCACGAAAGCGUGGGGAGCAAACAGGAUUAGAUACCCUGGUAGUCCACGCCGUAAACGAUGAGUACUAAAUGUUGGGUAAAACCAGUGUUGAAGUUAACACAUUAAGUACUCCGCCUGAGUAGUACGUACGCAAGUAUGAAACUUAAAGGAAUUGACGGGACUCCGCACAAGCGGUGGAUCAUGUUGUUUAAUUCGAAGGUACCCGAAAAACCUCACCAGGUCUUGACAUGCUUCUGCAAAGCUGUAGAAACACAGUGGAGGUUAUCAGUUGCACAGGUGGUGCAUGGUUGUCGUCAGCUCGUGUCGUGAGAUGUUGGGUUAAGUCCCGCAACGAGCGCAACCCUUAUUGUUAGUUGCCAGCACGUAAUGGUGGGGACUUUAGCAAGACUGCCAGUGAUAAAUUGGAGGAAGGUGGGGACGACGUCAAAUCAUCAUGCCCCUUAUGACCUGGGCUACAAACGUGAUACAAUGGCUGUUACAAAGGGUAGCUGAAACGUAAGUUUUUGGCGAAUCUCAAAAAAACAGUCUCAGUUCGGAUUGAAGUCUGCAACUCGACUUCAUGAAGUUGGAAUCGCUAGUAAUCGCGAAUCAGCAUGUCGCGGUGAAUACGUUCUCGGGGUUUGUACACACCGCCCGUCA
rnacentral:rRNA from 1 species